CCCUUAGAUGUUCGGAGCUGCACGCGCGCUACACUGAAGGAAGCAGCGUGUUAGGGCACCUGGCUUGAAAGAGCUGGGUAAUCCGGUGAAUGUCCUUCGUGAUUGGGAUAGGGACUUGUAAUUAUUUCCCUUGAACGAGGAAUACCUAGUAAGUGCGAGUCAUCAGCUUGCGCUGACUUACGUCCCUGCCCCUUGUACACACCGCCCGUCGCUCCUACCGAUUGAAUGAUCCGAUGAAUAUCAUGGAUUGAGGAUGCAAGUAGGUUAGCCUAUCUUCAUCUUCGAGAAGUGAAGUAAAUCUUAUCAUUUAGAGGAAGGAGAAGUCGUAACA
rnacentral:rRNA from 1 species